rnacentral:rRNA from 1 species
UACGAAGGGUGCAAGCGUUACUCGGAAUUACUGGGCGUAAAGCGUGCGUAGGUGGUUGUUUAAGUCUGUCGUGAAAUCCCCGGGCUCAACCUGGGAAUGGCGAUGGAUACUGGGCAGCUAGAGUGUGUCAGAGGAUGGUGGAAUUCCCGGUGUAGCGGUGAAAUGCGUAGAGAUCGGGAGGAACAUCAGUGGCGAAGGCGGCCAUCUGGGACAACACUGACGCUGAAGCACGAAAGCGUGGGGAGCAAACAGG